GACGAACGCUGGCGGCGUGCUUAACACAUGCAAGUCGAACGAAGAGCGAUGGAAGCUUGCUUCUAUCACUCUUAGUGGCGCACGGGUGAGUAACGCGUAAUCAACCUGCCCUUCAGAGGGGGACAACAGUUGGAAACGACUGCUAAUACCGCAUACGAUCUAAUCUCGGCAUCGAGGAUAGAUGAAAGGUGGCCUCUACAUGUAAGCUAUCACUGAAGGAGGGGAUUGCGUCUGAUUAGCUAGUUGGAGGGGUAACGGCCCACCAAGGCGAUGAGCAGUAGCCGGUCUGAGAGGAUGAACGGCCACAUUGGGACUGAGACACGGCCCAGACUCCUACGGGAGGCAGCAGUGGGGAAUCUUCCGCAAUGGACGAAAGUCUGACGGAGCAACGCCGCGUGAGUGAUGACGGCCGUCGGGUUGUAAAGCUCUGUUAAUCGGGACGAAAGGCCUUCUUGCGAAUAGUGAGAAGGAUUGACGGUACCGGAAGAGAAAGCCACGGCUAACUACGUG
rnacentral:rRNA from 1 species